UGUCGUGUUUAUUAAGUUUAUUUAUACCUGAUUGAUACUGAUUUCAACUAUGCAUGGUUCAGGUACUACUCAGAGAGACUAUAGGACUUGAUCCACUGAUAUUGAUUUUCAAGCUCAGGGGAAGUUCUUACUCUUUUACUCAACAAAAGGUUGGAUUCUUUAUGCUGUUAGUUAAUCUUUAUAGCUGACUCUUGUUUAAACACCUUGCCAGUAGACAAUCAAUCUACUCAGUGCAUUAGAAACCAUAAAAUUGUUACUGAAUGCCGAUCCCGGGAAAGAUGCUAAUAAACAGAAAAAUAAGACAGCUCUGGUUCAUGAUGAUUGCUCAUGUUUUAAAACAAUAAUGAUAAAAUUUUAUUUCUUAACAUUCAUCUACUUCUACUAUCUACCCAAUACUAUAAUGUUGCCCAAACUUCCUAUUAUACCCUUCCAUCCAAAAAAAUUUACACUACAAAAAGGCUAUCUAAGUAAUUAACAAAAGAAAUAUUCAACUAUGCCAAUUGUAUUCUUCUCAUUGGUCUAUUCCAAAAAGUUAUGUACUAACAUUUGGAUUAUAGUGCAAAUGUUGUUUCCCUCCCAAAAUAUUGAUACUCCACUCCUUUGUAAAGGUCACUUCAGAUUUUGAAUUUUCUGAUUACUCCAUGCCAGUUGUUCUCUUUUCAUUGGUCAUUUCAAUUUUCUUUUGUACUUUCUGAUUACUUUUCAUUCACUUUCGGUUCCCUCCAAUACAAAGCAUAAACGUUUGCAAGCAACACACCUCAUCUCAGUUUUUGUGCUUCAAGGCUCCAUUGUUUUCACAAGAAGACAUAGCGACUGCAAAGCUCAAUCGCCAGAGACUGUUCUAACGUCUUCGUUUUUCAGGGUGAUAAAAUUCAUGAGACCACUCGGAACCGAGACUUCAAAGAUUGGAUUGAAGUUGUCAAGGAGCAUGAGACAUGUUAUCUUUAUAAUGGAGAGCCGGUUGAGAAUGAUGGGCCUUUCAAAGUCUGUUUUAACCCACUCAAGCUCAUCUUCAAUGGAGGGUAUUUCAAAAAAUGAAGAAGAUGCACGAUUCAUCCAUUUACAAUGUUUUAAUUUUUAUAUCAAUCCCAUCCUUUCCGUUAAUGGGGUUGUAUUUUUACCGGGUCAGUUCAAUUUCCUCUGGUAAGAACAGUGAGGAAAAACCAACGCAGUUUCCAUUUGGUUGAAAACCUUUGGGGGUCAUCUAAAGAACAAGUCUUUGUAUGCCUUGGGAUUAUGUUCAGAGUUUUAGUUAACGCGGGUGAUACUUUACUUUUUGGUUUAGAUUCAUGUGACUAUACCAAUAAACCUCGUGGGAAAGCUAUCCUUCAUCAUAAGGUCAAUAAUCUACCAGUAAAUUUGCUUCGUGUUGCAUACUCGAGCCAGAUCCAUGGUCAAAGCUCUUAUUCCUCUUAUGACUUGCCCAAGACUGUUGUGAUGACUCUCAACCAAGUUUCAAUUGUAAAAAGUCUGGACUUCCCUCUAUUUAUUUUUCUGUUGAUGGUUAGUUGGAACAAACUUCCAUUAUUGCCUUUUCCUAGAUGCUUUAGAAUUUUUAACUUGGUUGAUACUGAUAUGGUGCUGAUAUAAUGGUGAUAUUGGUGAUAUGGUACUGAUAUGUUGGGUGUCUUGAAAAAGUUGAUCAUCUCAUAUCAGGAAUUGGUUUAUGUUCUGCCUGAGGCACUGUCACAAUUUGUUUUCAUGAUUUCUUCUGUAAAUUUUUUAUUACAAGGGAAGAUUUUGGCUAAUGAAUGAGGUAUGUACAUUUAAAACAUAUAGGAUCAGAAGGAAGAUGUUGGUUAUGCUAAUAAAUAUUAAUUAUACCCAAACCUAAUGGAUAAUGCAGAGUCAUGUCAUUUGACAAAUGUUGUGUUGGCUAUGGUGAAGGUUGCAUUUGAUACUCUUGAUUUUGAGCUUCAUAGUGGAACUCAUCCUAGACUUGGAGUGGUGGAUCAUAUAUGUUUUCAUCCUUUGGUUGAUAUGUCGUUGGAUCAAGCGGCUAGGACUGCGAGGUGUUUAGCUACUGACAUGGGUUCUAAGCUACAAGGUUAGUAGUAGCACUUGCGACAAGUUUGAUACGUCGUUGUUUUGGCGAAUAUUAGAAUAACUCGCAUCAACUGCACAAGGCAAGUCGGCCACCAACCAGGAAACUUUCUGAUCGGAAGGCAUAUGCUUGUCAAAAGCACUCAGCUAUUAGUGCAUCAACAGAUUUUCCUUGGUACUGAUUUAAGUACCAAUAAAAAGACAUUGAAGUCAAUUUUGGCAUUUGAAAUAGAUACACAUUAUUAUUCACUUUCGGUUUAAUUGGUUUAGUUGGGCCAGAAGAUGUACAUGAAGAGAUAUUGGCUGCUGUUAAGGGUCUUAUCGACUCUGGUCGUGCUUUUUCUAGCCAAUUUUGGAGGCAAGCUAGCAGGCUAUUUCAUUUAUUCAUUAAUUUUAUGUGAUGUAUUUUGUGUUUGCUAGGUGGAUUUGGAAUUUAAAAUCAAAUAAGUUUUAAUAUUUCUCAUACAAUAACCAAGCAUGUGUUGCUCCAUCUCUUAUGUCACCAUAGAUUCAUUAUCAGUACAUAUCAAUGAAUCAGUCUACUAAGUAUUAUUAUAUUUAUGUUGCAAAUUGCAUAAUGUUCAUGUGUAAUUCAGUGUGAUAGCAGGUUAGCAGCACAAUCUGUGCAUAAUUCAGUCAAGUUAAAAGCAUGUAUUUGGCUGCAACAAAAACACAUGCUUUGUUUCACUAGAAGACAUGCUUUGUUAUUUCUGUCUCUAAAUGUGAUCCAUAGU